ensembl:lncRNA
GAGGGGCCACCCCUGAGAAGGGACACAGAGUGGGGAUCAGAUUUGGUGAGGAAAGUGCCAAGCUCAUGCUUGGCCCCGGGAGUGAGCGGCGGCUGUGGGACGUCCAGGAGGAAGGCUGACAGAGUGCAGGCCAACGGAUCCAUAGCCUAGAGCUCAAGACGGAAAGGAGAGUGGGGAGGCAGUGCCUGGGCCAGCAGUGGCAGCCAUGGAGAGCCUGAGACCGCCACCCCCAGGGUCACCCUUAGAUCUGAACGGUACCCACCUCCCGCGUCAGCCGGGCCUUCCGGGCAGAGAUCCAGCCCAUCAGCCAGAGCAGCGGCCAAACAAACCUGAACAGAGACAGCGCCACUGACCCCGCUCGGCAAGAAGCACAGACCCUUUUGCGGCGGACGAAUCCACAGGCCAGCCUUUCCCAGCCGGCAACGGGCAGAACAAGAUGGUGCACAUCUUGCCUGCAACUGGAGGCCUGUGCACCCGCCCCCCCUCCGCUACUCCCAAGGGGGUGUCCCCACUCCAUCCACUUGAGUUCUGGCAGGCCUGAUGAUGGAAACAGGGGUCUGCAGACCUCAGCCCCUGGGCUGCCGGGCAUCUGUCUCCAAGAGAGAAGACCCACUCAGGGGCAUCAGAGGCUGGCUGUCCGGCCAACCUGGGAUCGGGGCACACCCCUCUUCCUCCUGUCUGGCGAGCCCAAGCAACUCCCUUCCACCACGAGGCCUCAGCUUCCCCUCCCGUGAGAUGGGGUGAGGAUCCCCACCCGUCGGAGCCACCUUUGCAUGCUAUGGAGGGCAGCCACUGUCCACAGCAUAUCGUUUUGUGGACAAAGCAAGGGCUGUUAUGACAUGGGUAAAAUGAUGCCCCUUUUGGUUAAAAAGGAAAAAUCUACACACGCACAGUACAGCUUUCCAAAACGUUGGCCAUGGGCCUCGGGAAACUGCCCUCAGUGGAAACUCUGGGGAGCCAAUUGAGCGGUGUGUCUAUGGGGGUGUUUUUAUUUUAUAUUCUAGACGUUUUUUACUUGUUGUAAUAAGCACGAGCUGUAAAAAGAAAUUUCGGGUUUGUCCUACGAACUUGUCCGUAAAGAAUUGCCAAGUACGUAGAGGGUGCCGGGAGUCUUUAAAGCUGUUCCGAAAUACUGCUUCUCACUGAAGCCUCUGGCUGGGGUCAGCCUCAGCCGAAUCACCCACGGCCAUGCCGAGCACUUUAGGUGGAGACACCUGUCCAUGGGGUCAGGAGAGAAAAGGGCAAGUCUGAGCAACAAAAGCCCCACAGAAGGACAAAUACUGCAUGAUUCCACUUCCGCGAGGUCCCUGGAGUCGCCAAAGUCGCAAAGACAGUGAGUGGAGUAGUGGGUGCAGGGGCUGGGGGAGGGGGACAGGGAGUUAGUGUUUAACGGGGACAGAGUUUCAGUUUGGAGAGAUGCAGAAGUCUGGAGACGGAUGGUUGGGGACGGCUGCACGACAGUGUGAGUAUACUCGGUAUCACUGAACUGGACACUUAAAAUGGUUAAAAUGGUAAAUUCUGUGUUAUGUAUAUUUCACAAUGACAGGUAGGUAGGUAGGUAGGUAGACAGAUAACAAAUAAUCAUCCAUUGUGGAUAAAAGAGGAAUGUGGGAGGUGGUAAGGAGGAGGCUGGAAUUCGGGGUCUCAGCAGGUGUUGGGACUUUGUCCUGGGUCUUGAAGAGGGGUUUGGAGACCUCCACCUGCGGGUAUACUGGGAGGUUCCCAUUUGUCCCCAAGUCGGAGGAGAUACAGGUAUUUUCCUAUGAGCCACUUUGGGGAGUUUGGACUUUAGACUUCCAGCAACAGAUGAUGGUAGAAUGAUCAUGGCCUUCAGGAAGGAACAAAGUGCCUUGUUUUUUUCUGAGGGCUGGGGCAGGGGGGUGACAAGGUCAAAGGAGUUGUCCCUGGAGGGCCACCUCCGGCAGGCUGGGGCUGGCGGCCCAGAGCCCAGGGAGGAGGCUAGGGCAGUGGUUCCUUCCUAGAAUCCACCAGGGACCUCCCCGGGUUAGCACACAGUGGGUGGACAGAUCUGAAGUCUGACCCUGCUGCAGAGAAUGAAGAAGGCAGCAUUCCUGAGGCCCUUGUGAGCUGGGCACUGGACGGGACAGAGAGUGACACUCACCUCUGCUGGUCUGAUGCAGACGCAGGACCAAACAGUGGCAGACAGUAAGGGAAGGGCAAUCAGGAGGUCCUCACGGGCUGAGGUCUGAGAUGCCACAGGAAAUUGCUGUCUUAAAAUUGCCGAUUCGAGGGGCAUCUGGGUGGCUCAGUCGGUUGGCCGUCUGACUUCGGCUCAGGUCAUGAUCUCACGGUCCGUGAGUUCGAGCCCCACGUCGCACUCUGUGCUGACAGCUCAGAGCCUGGAGCCUGCUUCGGAUUCUGGGUCUCCCUCUCUCUCUGCCCCUCCCCCGCUCGCACUCUGUCUCUGUAUCUCUCAAAAAUAAAUAAACGUCAGAAAAAAAAAAAAUUAAAAUC